UUCAAGUGAGUUAUCAUUUGAUCGACUUGUGUACAACUCUGAGCGGUGGAUCACUCGGCUCGUGUG
rnacentral:rRNA from 1 species